AUUCUACUCGAACGUGAACGUCUAAAGCAAAAUCAGCCGAGAAAUGUUGCACAUCUGUAAGAACGUUUAUUUAAAUUCCGAGAUGUGCGAGCGUUCUUUGCCAUCAUUAAGAAAUUCUUCGUUUUUAAAUGUUUAUCCCUAGUGUUCUUUUCUAUAGCGAACGAAGCAAUUUCGUCAGUGGAUGAUUAUAAUAUUGACACGUAUUGAAAUGUGGCAACAGGAAAUAAGAAUGCAGAAAGAACGCGAUAAGUUUAUAAGAUAUAUCGUAACAUGACAUACACGUAUUGCGUAUACUCGCAACAGACAAGUGAACGUACGUAGGGAUAUUGGCGCGACGAAAUGUAUAUGUACAUGAGGAGGUCGUAUGUAUUUCAAUGGCGCGCACUUGCUUGUAUGACAGACUAAGAUAUAGAUAGACAAUUGGGGAAAAAAGAGGAAAGAGAAUGAAUACUUUGGAAAUGCAAGUGGGGACGUAGAUAUUCCUAAAAUUGAGAGAGAAAUAAUAUUAUACAAGAUUAUAGAAGAAUAUAAGAUUCCAUGGAAGCAGAAGUAGACGAAGAGGAACAAGGAGAAAGGGCAGAAGGUAGGUUGAAAAGUACAUAGUACAAUGUACCGCGGUACACGAGUAUCCAAUGGUAUGUAUAUCACGAUAAACCGACAAAACGUUUCGAAAGAAUCAUUUUAUAUAUUCUGAAAUCGUUGUCAUUUUUCACAUUGUUAUUUUUAUUAUUCUAUUAUCUUUUUGUACUUCUCGAACAUUAUCUCAUGCGAACAGCAUUUGCAACUAAUAGGUUGUUGUCGUGAUUUUUCAAGUGAUUCGUAUGUACAUGUAUGUUUGAGCUUGUAUGCCAGAGAGAAGGCAAUCGAAAGAAAUAACGCAGAAAGAAAGGAAGCAGAGAAGCAAGGAAGAAAGGAAGAGAAAGGGAAAGGGGGAAAAAAGGAAGAAACAGUUUCAUUACUUUCGAUCCCUAAGAAGGAUAUUCUUGUAAGAGGGGAAGGUAGAAGACGAAACGGGAAUAACCAUUGAAUUCCUUGAGACGCGAGGGAAACCUAAGACGUACGGAACCUUCGAAGAGGGUUCGGCCGACACACCCUACUCGAGUUCUUUCAGAGCAGGGCCGUCCAAAGUUGUGGAAAAAAAUAGCAGCUUUCUAUUAUUCGAAGAGAAUCGAUGAUAGCUUUCUAUUUCUAUUUUAACUAAUUUUCCAUUUGUUCCUGUUCAAAGUACGUCUUUGUCUUUGUAUGUCAAAGUUAUGCGACGAGAUCAAGCGGCAUUGCCGCUGAAACAACAAUCUAGCGUUCAUUGUUAAAUAAUAACCAUAAUAAAAUUUUAUAUUUUUAUCCAUAUAUUCUUGCUGUCAAACGCACGAAUAUGCCUAAAUGUUUCCUAAUAUAGGUACACACGCAUACUCGUAUAUCGCCAAAGUGUAUGAAAUACGUAGAGUGCAUGGUAUAGUGUUCUCUUCUUCUUCUUCUUGCGUAUUUCACCAUAAUAUGGUGAAUAUGCUUCAGAUUUUCAGAUCUAAAUGACUUAUUUUAAUCUGAUAUUCAAUAAAUUAAACAACAGUACUCAUUUAUUAGCUUGUAUUAUUAUGAAAAUAAGGAGAAUAUAUACUUGUAAAAGGUGUAGAAAGUUUCAAAUAUUGGCGUAACAAUAUUAAAUAACCGUUUGAUAUCGUUAUCGUCUUGCAUCUAUUUUUUAAAUAUAGUUUUCGUUUUACAGCGUCACAGCUUUUAUUGCAUGAAACAAGUAUAUGCAUAUUUUACUUUUCUACUCUCUUCCAUUAAACAAAAUAGCUAUGUACGAACGUGUAUUGCUAAUACAUAUUACGUAUACUAAUAUUUCUUGUUUGUAGCGCAUUCUGUAUUUAUUAAAUUCGCAUAUCAGAAUGUAAAACUUAAAAUUAAUAUUCGAUCAUCGACAUCCGUCAGUUUUAUAGUUAACGACCAUUAAGAUAAAAAAAAAAAAUCGUUUGCAUUGGUGUCAUUAUCUUGCGAUUUUUAAAAUGCACCGUUGUAUCUGAUAUGUAUAAUGUAACAUUUUUAUUCAUUUACUGUAGUCGAAGAUUUUGUAAAUUACGCUUAUUUCAAAAUAAUUGAAUUAUUAGAAAUGAGGAUAAUUAUAUUAAUUGAACGAAAACAAUAUGAGGCCAAUUAAAGACGAAGACUGUAACAUUUUAA